rnacentral:rRNA from 1 species
UCGAACGGGGUACCCUUGAAGGAGGCUUCGGCCAACAGAUAGGAAUACCUAGUGGCGGACGGGUGAGUAACGCGUGAGGAACCUGCCUUGGAGUGGGGAAUAACAGUUAGAAAUAGCUGCUAAUACCGCAUAAUGCAAUGGAGUCGCAUGGCUCUGUUGCCAAAGAUUUAUCGCUCUGAGAUGGCCUCGCGUCUGAUUAGAUAGUUGGCGGGGUAACGGCCCACCAAGUCGACGAUCAGUAGCCGGACUGAGAGGUUGGCCGGCCACAUUGGGACUGAGACACGGCCCAGACUCCUACGGGAGGCAGCAGUGGGGAAUAUUGGGCAAUGGGCGCAAGCCUGACCCAGCAACGCCGCGUGAAGGAAGAAGGCCCUCGGGUUGUAAACUUCUUUUAACAGGGACGAAGAAAGUGACGGUACCGGUUGAAUAAGCCACGGCUAACUACGUGCCAGCAGCCGCGGUAAUACGUAGGUGGCAAGCGUUAUCCGGAUUUACUGGGUGUAAAGGGCGUGUAGGCGGGAGAGCAAGUCAGACGUGAAAUUCCAG